CACACUGUUGGACUCAACUUUUUAGCUCCACUAGAGGGCGACAUUAUCAAGUAGGCGGUGCACUACUUCUGCACUGUGUUCAACCAUUCUGUCAAUAAUAACUGCUGCUGUGAAGAGAACAAUUGUCACACUGAAUGUUGAACAUCAGCUAGUUUCUCCUGUUGAUUUAAACCUUGUUGUAGAGAUGGAACAUUGGCUGUGGAUUAUUCUUGCUGCUCUUUUCUUUGGACUAAUAGCUGGAGACACAAUCUCUCCUGUAGGAGAUAAAGUCAGUGGAAGAGAAGGAGAAUCUGUCACACUCAAAUGUCGAUAUGACACAGCUGAAAGCUAUAUUAGGCUUUACUGGUACAGACAUUCUGACUGACAAACCAACUGGAUGAUGCUUCAAACACAAGACCAUUUUACAGACUAAAAGACUUUUCAACGAUUAAAGUUUUGUUAGUUGCAGCUUUAAUCAUGUUUUCUGUACCAAGAUUUCUUUAAACAUGUUUCACACUCACAACAGUUAGAAUGUCUGUACAGUGUGCAGUUUGGAUGUUUCAGGAAGUUGUUUCUCUACAGACUGAUUCAGUUGAGUUUUGUGCAGAUUCCUCCUUCAGUCUGACCUUCUUGGAUGAUGAUGACUUCAGCAUCACUGUCAUUUCUAAAGCUUCCAUCAGCCUGAAUGCAAACAGACCACAGCAAGAGGAGGAGCUACACAAUUCAUUUUGGAAGUGAAGAGCUGCUGUGUUCUCUCUGUUGUUCAUUCAGUACAAGUGGAAAUAAUGCAGCUCUCUUUAGUUUGGAUGAUGAUCUUCAUCUUUCAUACUGGAUCCUCUGAGGAUUUAGUGAAACCAUUUAAAGAUGUAAUGCUGGCUUUGGAAGGAGACACUGUGACUCUCUCCUGUAAAUAUUCAGUCUCUGUUGACUACCUCUACUGGUAUCAACAGAAGUCCAGUUCACCUCCACAGCUUCUCAUC